CGCAUCUUGCGCCCUUUGGUAUUCCGAAGGGCACGCCUGUUCGAGUGUUGUGAAACUCUCAACUUUGUGAAUUUUUAUUAGUUCGCAAAGUUGGAUUUGGGCUUUGCCGUCUUGCUUUACUGCGAACGGCUGGCCUUAAAAGCAUUAGCUGGUUUCUUGUGGCUGAACUUUUGGUUCUACUCAGCGUGAUAAUUUCUGACCGUUGAGCGCAUUUCUUUGGAAAUGGCCCGGAGCGAACUGCUUCUAACUCGGGUUCAACCACCCAUUUUUUCAACCUUUAACCUCGAAUCAGGCGGGACUACCCGCUGAACUUAA
rnacentral:misc_RNA from 1 species